rnacentral:rRNA from 2 species
UUAAAUUGAAGAGUUUGAUCAUGGCUCAGAUUGAACGCUGGCGGCAGGCCUAACACAUGCAAGUCGAACGGUAACAGGAAGCAGCUUGCUGCUUCGCUGACGAGUGGCGGACGGGUGAGUAAUGUCUGGGAAACUGCCUGAUGGAGGGGGAUAACUACUGGAAACGGUGGCUAAUACCGCAUAACGUCGCAAGACCAAAGAGGGGGACCUUCGGGCCUCUUGCCAUCAGAUGUGCCCAGAUGGGAUUAGCUUGUUGGUGAGGUAACGGCUCACCAAGGCGACGAUCCCUAGCUGGUCUGAGAGGAUGACCAGCCACACUGGAACUGAGACACGGUCCAGACUCCUACGGGAGGCAGCAGUGGGGAAUAUUGCACAAUGGGCGCAAGCCUGAUGCAGCCAUGCCGCGUGUAUGAAGAAGGCCUUCGGGUUGUAAAGUACUUUCAGCGGGGAGGAAGGUGUUGUGGUUAAUAACCACAGCAAUUGACGUUACCCGCAGAAGAAGCACCGGCUAACUCCGUGCCAGCAGCCGCGGUAAUACGGAGGGUGCAAGCGUUAAUCGGAAUUACUGGGCGUAAAGCGCACGCAGGCGGUCUGUCAAGUCGGAUGUGAAAUCCCCGGGCUCAACCUGGGAACUGCAUUCGAAACUGGCAGGCUUGAGUCUUGUAGAGGGGGGUAGAAUUCCAGGUGUAGCGGUGAAAUGCGUAGAGAUCUGGAGGAAUACCGGUGGCGAAGGCGGCCCCCUGGACAAAGACUGACGCUCAGGUGCGAAAGCGUGGGGAGCAAACAGGAUUAGAUACCCUGGUAGUCCACGCCGUAAACGAUGUCUACUUGGAGGUUGUGCCCUUGAGGCGUGGCUUCCGGAGCUAACGCGUUAAGUAGACCGCCUGGGGAGUACGGCCGCAAGGUUAAAACUCAAAUGAAUUGACGGGGGCCCGCACAAGCGGUGGAGCAUGUGGUUUAAUUCGAUGCAACGCGAAGAACCUUACCUGGUCUUGACAUCCACGGAAGUUUUCAGAGAUGAGAAUGUGCCUUCGGGAACCGUGAGACAGGUGCUGCAUGGCUGUCGUCAGCUCGUGUUGUGAAAUGUUGGGUUAAGUCCCGCAACGAGCGCAACCCUUAUCCUUUGUUGCCAGCGGUUAGGCCGGGAACUCAAAGGAGACUGCCAGUGAUAAACUGGAGGAAGGUGGGGAUGACGUCAAGUCAUCAUGGCCCUUACGACCAGGGCUACACACGUGCUACAAUGGCGCAUACAAAGAGAAGCGACCUCGCGAGAGCAAGCGGACCUCAUAAAGUGCGUCGUAGUCCGGAUUGGAGUCUGCAACUCGACUCCAUGAAGUCGGAAUCGCUAGUAAUCGUGGAUCAGAAUGCCACGGUGAAUACGUUCCCGGGCCUUGUACACACCGCCCGUCACACCAUGGGAGUGGGUUGCAAAAGAAGUAGGUAGCUUAACCUUCGGGAGGGCGCUUACCACUUUGUGAUUCAUGACUGGGGUGAAGUCGUAACAAGGUAACCGUAGGGGAACCUGCGGUUGGAUCACCUCCUUACCUUAAAGAA